AUGGUAUAUAAAAACCAACCUAAUCAUAGAAAAUAUCAGUGAAGAUCCGUAUAGUCACUACGUUCACAUUGUCUUGUCUCAUUUGUUCUACUCUUCGAGUUCACUUUUAUCCAUCAUCAUGUACAAGUUAUUGUUAUUGAUUGUUUCCGUCAUCGCUUUGGUCGCCGCCACUUCUGCUCAAGUUUUCAUCGAUUCACAUACACAAGCACCGUACUACACAUACCCAUCAUAUGGCUACUCUUACCCAGUGCCGUAUAAUCCAUACAUCACUCUCUUCCGUCAAUAGAGACACUGACCAAAUUCAAACACGCCAUGAAGAAACAAGGCAGUUAUUAUCCAGUAUUAGCUUAUGAAGAUAUACGAGUGAAAAUAUAUUUACCCAACACAUAUUUUUGUACAAUUUAUUUUUCUUCAUAACGUUUUUUUCCGGCUUCUUGUAAAACAUUAACUUAUUCACAAUAAAAUAUGAUCAUUUAGACUCGUAAACACGACCAAUGUA